GUGGCGAACGGGUGAGUAAUACGUGAGUAACCUGCCCUUGACUCUGGGAUAAGCCUGGGAAACUGGGUCUAAUACUGGAUACUACUUCUCAUCGCAUGGUGGGUGGUGGAAAGGGUUUUACUGGUUUUGGAUGGGCUCACGGCCUAUCAGCUUGUUGGUGGGGUAAUGGCUCACCAAGGCGACGACGGGUAGCCGGCCUGAGAGGGUGACCGGCCACACUGGGACUGAGACACGGCCCAGACUCCUACGGGAGGCAGCAGUGGGGAAUAUUGCACAAUGGGCGGAAGCCUGAUGCAGCGACGCCGCGUGAGGGAUGACGGCCUUCGGGUUGUAAACCUCUUUCAGUAGGGAAGAAGCGAGAGUGACGGUACCUGCAGAAGAAGCGCCGGCUAACUACGUGCCAGCAGCCGCGGUAAUACGUAGGGCGCAAGCGUUGUCCGGAAUUAUUGGGCGUAAAGAGCUCGUAGGCGGUUUGUCGCGUCUGCUGUGAAAGCCCGGGGCUCAACCCCGGGUCUGCAGUGGGUACGGGCAGACUAGAGUGCAGUAGGGGAGACUGGAAUUCCUGGUGUAGCGGUGAAAU
rnacentral:rRNA from 1 species